CCUACGGGAGGCAGCAGUGAGGAAUAUUGGUCAAUGGGAGGAAGCCUGAACCAGCCAAGCCGCGAGAAGGACGACGGCCCUACGAGUUGUAAACUGCUUUUGUACGGGGAUAAAAUGUUCCCCGUGUGGGGUUUUGAAUGUACGGUAGGAAUAAGGAUCGGCUAACUCCGUGCCAGCAGCUGCGGUAAUACGGAGGAUCCGAGCGUUAUCCGGAUUUAUUGGGUUUAAAGGGUGCGUAGGUGGUUUUUUAAGUAAGCGGUGAAAGUUUGCGGCUCAACAGUGGGAUUGCAGUUGAUACUGGCAGUCUAGAGUACGGGAGCGGCAGGCGGAAUGUGUGGUGUAGCGGUGAAAUGCAUAGAUAUUACGCAGAACACCGAUUGCGAAGGCAGCUUGCUGGGCCGGAUCUGACACUGAUGCACGAAAGCGUGGGGAUCGAACAGGAUUAGAUACCCCUGUAGUC
rnacentral:rRNA from 1 species